rnacentral:snRNA from 1 species
AAGCAUGUGAAAGAUGGAGACAUCUGUCACCCCAUUGAUUGCCAUGGUUGAUUCGGCUGAUCUGGCUGGCUAAGCGGGUGUCCCCUUCCUCCCGCACCGCUCCAUGGGCAUCCUUCCCGAAGCUGUGCGCUCGGUCAAAGAGGAUGGCCUUCCCCAAAUAAAAAAGAUAUAAAACAGGGG